rnacentral:rRNA from 1 species
CCCAGUCGUUUUUUUUUCUGUUGGUUUGCCGCGAGGACCAGGGUAAUGAUUAAUUGGGAUAGUUGGGGGCAUUAAUAAUUAAUUGUCAGAGGUGAAAUUCUUGGAUUUAUGAAAGAUUAACUUCUGCGAAAGCAUCUGCCAAGGAUGUUUUCAUUAAUCAAGAACGAAAGUUAGGGGAUCGAAGACGAUCAGAUACCGUCGUAGUCUUAACCAUAAACGAUGCCGACCAGCGAUUAGGAGACGUUGAAUACAAAACACCACCAUGCGCAUUGCGGUCGUCUUUUGGUGUGUUCGCUUCACCAAAGGCGGCCAUCAAUCGGGACGGGCUAUGGCC